CAUAACCGUGUAGGUGUAUGGUGUUUGUGCCACUACCAUUUCACCAGCGGGUUGGGGUCACAGCUAUUUCCAUCACAACGAAAGAUAUAGAACCUCAUCUUUCGGUGCAACUGGCGAUUUCACCAUUCAAUCAUAAUGAAGAAACAAUAUGACCGAAUGAAGAUUUUGAAAAAGUAUGGAUAUGAAGUUCUUAGAUUAAAUUAUCCCAUACCAUUGUGUCUACGUUAUGGACGUGUAUGUAUGUUGAUAACCAACUAUGGAACAACUCGUUUUCUUUCUUACGUACUUUAGCGAUCAGAAAACAACCAAACCACUAAGAAGAUAAACUCAGAAGAUGGCGCCCUUUGCUUUUUGGCUCACAGCCUUUGUUGGGUUGGUCCCAUAUUAUCUUUUUCCACUGGGAUUUUCUGUUUAUAAUUAAUUUAUUCGGACAAAACUGCACACAAUGAACCAACUCCCGGAAAUUCAAGGGAAAUUGAAUACUCUGCGAUCAACUACUCCUAGGAGAAAAAUGUUAUUAAAGUUAGGUAUAUAUUUGUAUAAGUAAGUUGUACACAAAAUAUUACAAGAAGGAAUCAAUUUGUAUAUAA